ACGGAAGGCAGCAGUGAGGAAUAUUGGUCAAUGGACGCAAGUCUGAACCAGCCAUGCCGCGUGCAGGAAUAAGGCCCUAUGGGUCGUAAACUGCUUUUGUGGUGGAGCAAUAAGUCGUACGUGUACGGCGAUGAGAGUACAUCACGAAUAAGCAUCGGCUAACUCCGUGCCAGCAGCCGCGGUAAUACGGAGGAUGCAAGCGUUAUCCGGAUUUAUUGGGUUUAAAGGGUGCGUAGGCUGUGGUCCAAGUCAGGGGUGAAAGCCCGGAGCUCAACUCCGGAACUGCCUUUGAUACUGGAUUGCUGGAAUACGGAUGCCAUGGGAGGAAUGAGUAGUGUAGCGGUGAAAUGCAUAGAUAUUACUCAGAACACCGAUUGCGAAGGCAUCUCACGAAUCCGUCAUUGACGCUGAGGCACGAAAGCGUGGGGAUCAAACAGGAUUAGAUACCCUGGUA
rnacentral:rRNA from 1 species